rnacentral:lncRNA from 1 species
GGGCUCGAGGCCAUGGGACGACGGAGCGCAGGGAGGGUGGAAUCAUCAGGAAGGAGGCACCGAGGAGGGGAGGGAACCGUCGGAAAGGAGGCACUGGCAAGGGGGAAAGUUGUGCGGGCUCAGGGCCGUGAGAUGCCGUAGUGCAGGAAGGGGAGAACCAUCGGGAAAGAAGCACCGAGGGUGAGGGGUACUACUGGGAAGGAGAUGC